rnacentral:rRNA from 1 species
UACGGAAGGCAGCAGUGGGGAAUAUUGGACAAUGGGCGAAAGCCUGAUCCAGCCAUGCCGCAUGAGUGAAGAAAGGCCUUCGGGUUGUAAAGCUCUUUUAGUGAGAAAGAUAAUGACGGUACUCACAGAAGAAGUCCUGGCUAACUCCGUGCCAGCAGCCGCGGUAAUACGGAGAGGGCUAGCGUUAUUCGGAAUUAUUGGGCGUAAAGAGCGCGUAGGCUGAUUAGUAAGUUAAAAGUGAAAUCCCAAAGCUUAACUUUGGAAUUGCUUUUUAAAACUGCUAGUCUAGAGAUUGAAAGAGGAUAGAGGAAUUCCUAGUGUAGAGGUGAAAUUCGUAAAUAUUAGGAGGAACACCAGUGGCGAAGGCGUCUAUCUGGUUCAAAUCUGACGCUGAGGCGCGAAGGGCGUGGGGAGCAAACGAGGGAUUAGAUACCCGU